rnacentral:lncRNA from 1 species
UCGCAUUUCCCGGCCCCUUCUCCAUCCUCCGCCGGAAGAUCGACGCUCCCGGGAGGAUCGGCCAUCGGAGACACCUCCAUGGUCAUGUCGGCAAGUUCAGCCCUACCAGGGCCACCGAAGAACACCUGGCACGGCGGCGCUUCCUGGUCCGCCGCCACUUCCGCCGGUUCCUCGAGCUCGAUCCUUCCGACAUCCCCGACGAAUUCCUCCUCCGAAUUCUUCUCCUCCGGGAUCCUCUCCUCCGAUUCACGCAGCAUCGGGUGGUCGAAGAACUCCUCGUCGCCGAGGAAUUCCCAUUCCUCCGAGUCCAUCUCGAAGGUGGGACG